GGCGGGUGGGCAGGCUGGGUAUGCAGCGGAUUGCAAAUCCGUGAAGACCGGUUCGAUUCCGGUACCCGCCUCCA
rnacentral:tRNA from 1 species